CGCCACGGGGCUUUUCCCCGGAGGGACUCUGCGCCUCGGCUGUACACUGCGGGGAGCAGACCACGGCCCGUCGACUAGCGGAUGAAAGCGUGAUUCAAAUGGACUUAUUCUUCAUUGGAUUCGUCUUGCUUUGGUGGUUUCUGUGGACUCACCUGUUCCCGCGUGGCGAUUACAAUGGACUUUCAUUGUUACACUUGCUCCCCCCCUCUUUCCUCUGUGGACUAUAACUGGAGCCCCGAGUCGACCAGAACUUCGGAGACUCCCCCGACACGACAGAUGGAUCCCCAUCGUCCGGACCACUGAGGAUCUCGCCUGUGUUGCAGAAUUCUGUUGUGUUUACUUUUUCAGAAGAACCCCGAGGGACAUGAAGACCACCUAAUCCAUGAUAAAACUGGUAAUACUUUUCUGCAUCCUACCACAACCCCAUGGCCAGAAACCAGCUGAGUGGCCGUGGUCUGAACUAAUUGUGGUAGCAUGCAGAAAAAGUGAAAGGAUCUCUUUAAGCACAAAAAGGUGUGUACGCACCCAAGCAUACAGGAUUGUUGGCACAAUUACACAUUAACACAAACUGUAGAAGUAGUUUGGUUUUGGUCCAAAAAUACCGAAGCACUUUUUUUUGUUUUGUUUUGUUUUUGUUUUUGUUUUUGUUUUUUAAGUUUAAAGUAUUGAUUCAAAUACUGGAGUAGGACUUGAUGUUAAUGUUGUGACACCUACCACCCAACCACUGGUUACACUUAGCCCGAAAAUCUUUGGAAUUGGACCAUAUAUAAUCAGGAAAACUGGCCAACAACAGAUAUUGUUUAAUCUGUUAUGGUCUCUUAAACAAGUCAAAUUGCUGAUGCAAAACAAUAUCUCAGAAAUACAACCAGCUUGUUCACCCUUUUUGCAGACCUCUUUUCAGGGUUGGACAACCUGGCUGCGACAGUGGAACCCUCCUAAAAACCGGGUGCCAAGAGACGUAACUGGUCUUGUGGGGACAGGAUUGGGAAUCCUAAAUAGUAUUGAUUCAGAAGUAUUAAUGAAUAAAUUGGCUUCCACAACUAAAGAUUUAACCAAAAUACAACAACCACUGCAAUCGUCCUUAUCAGCCUUGGGAACACAUCAGUGGUUGCUAUCAAACAUUCUACCAAAUUGGGAAAAGAUAAAUGUAAAUAAUAGCAAAUUGAUAAUUGAUGGACUUAAUGCCACACAAAGCAACGUUUCCUUAGCUCUUAGCUGUAUCCAGGCUCAAUUAUGGAUGCAGUCAGUUGCUGCCUCAAUUAUAAGAGAAGGUGAAGAAGGCACUUUUCCUACUGAGAUUAGGAAAAUAGUCUGGGACAGUGCCACUGACUUCGAAAGAGAUUUCCAAUCCUGGUGGAAUUUAGUGAAUUUUACCUAUGACCCUAACACAAACACAGCCACAGCAUUUGUGCUGACCAUAAGAAAUGCCUCGGUGCAUUUGAUAUUCCCUAUCAUUGCACUAGGAUUAAAUCAUGAUGGACCCACUUUCUAUCCUUCUGAACAUAGAGAAUGGGCCCGUCAAAUUGAUGACAAAUGGCAAACUGUCAAUUUAGAGUCCUGUACCAUCUGAGAACAACUAGGGUUUAUCUGUGAAGCUCCAGUUACUUCACAUGAACUUUUAGAAUCCAAUCUCACGUUGAUUCACAAGCUACUGCCUACUCCCAUUGGGAUGAACCUUACUCUGUAAUCUUGCUUAUUGUAAAUUGGAGAAUGAUGAAAUGAUGAACAAAAUUAACAUCUAUAAUUAAUGCACACCACUUGGCCGACAUCCUUUACACUAUAGAUGUUCCCAGGACUGUAGACACAAGAAGAUUAUAAGUUUUCCUGUUUUCUCUUUCUUUCCCUUUUCCUCUUCUCUUUUCCCUGCGACGUGCUGCCAACACUUGACGAGUCCUGAAGACUCCACGACGACACCAUGGAAUCCUGCUGAUGAAGAUCUUUCGAGGGCAAUCGUCAGUCACGGGGUGGUGUAAGAGCCCGUCUGAAGCCCCUCAUUUUCCAUUCUGCCUUCCGAUUGCCACAAGAAAGAAUCCCAUCCCCCACUGUAGUUCCGGCUUAGAACAGGACACAGCACAGGUGGAACCACUGAACCGUCACGCUGGCUGUUCCGAACAAGGCCUGGUAAGAACUUGGCAAGGACUUGGCAAGGACUUGGCAAAGACCUGACGUGGACCCAGCACGGGACAGCCUGAUGCGCGGCCUGCUUCUAAUCUCCGUUCUUAAGCCAAAUGAACUUUUGGGGUGACUCUCGCGGUCCUUCAUUGAAGACCCCUCAUCUGCCUCGUUACCACUGUGACAAACAAAGAAUGAGAACCCUCCUCCCAAGGACUGAGACUGAGACCCCUGCUAUAGGGAGGAGGGGAAAUUGGUGGUCUGACCACUAAUGACAUGACCUGUUUCCCUUCAGUGAUUCAAAUGGACUUAUUCUUCAUUGGAUUCGUCUUGCUUUGGUGGUUACUGUGGACUCACCUGUUCCCUCGGGGCGAUUACAAUGGACUUUCAUUAUUACACUUGUUCCCCCCCUCUCUCCUCUGUGGACUAUAAUUGGACCCCCAAGUCGACCAGAACUUCGAAGACUCCCCCGACACGACAGAUGGAUCCCCAUCGUCCGGAGCACUGAGGAUCUCGCCUGUGUUGGUAGCUAUUCCCAUAUCCCUCUUCUCU